GGACGGGUGAGUAACACGUGGGUAACCUGCCCUUAAGUGGGGGAUAACAUUUGGAAACAGAUGCUAAUACCGCAUAGAUCCAAGAACCGCAUGGUUCUUGGCUGAAAGAUGGCGUAAGCUAUCGCUUUUGGAUGGACCCGCGGCGUAUUAGCUAGUUGGUGAGGUAAUGGCUCACCAAGGCGAUGAUACGUAGCCGAACUGAGAGGUUGAUCGGCCACAUUGGGACUGAGACACGGCCCAAACUCCUACGGGAGGCAGCAGUAGGGAAUCUUCCACAAUGGACGCAAGUCUGAUGGAGCAACGCCGCGUGAGUGAAGAAGGCUUUCGGGUCGUAAAACUCUGUUGUUGGAGAAGAAUGGUCGGCAGAGUAACUGUUGUCGGCGUGACGGUAUCCAACCAGAAAGCCACGGCUAACUACGUGCCAGCAGCCGCGGUAAUACGUAGGUGGCAAGCGUUAUCCGGAUUUAUUGGGCGUAAAGCGAGCGCAGGCGGUUUUUUAAGUCUGAUGUGAAAGCCCUCGGCUUAACCGAGGAAGCGCAUCGGAAACUGGGAAACUUGAGUGCAGAAGAGGACAGUGGAACUCCAUGUGUAGCGGUGAAAUGCGUAGAUAUAUGGAAGAACACCAGUGGCGAAGGCGGCUGUCUGGUCUGUAACUGACGCUGAGGCUCGAAA
rnacentral:rRNA from 1 species